rnacentral:RNase_P_RNA from 1 species
CAAGCUGACCGGGUGAUCGCGUCCUGCCGCGUUGCAGGAUGAGGAAAGUCCGCGCUCCAUAGGGCACGGUGCUGGCUAACAGCCAGGCGGGGCGACCCGACGGCAUAGUGCAACAGAGAGGCGUAUUGCCCCUUCGCUGAAGGGGCGAGGGUGAAACGGUGCGGUAAGAGCGCACCGGCGUCGGUGGCGACACCGGCGGCCAGGCAAACCCCGCCGGGAGCAAGACCAAGCAGGAACGAGGGGCGGCCCGUCCCGUUAUCAGUUCCGGGUAGGUUGCUUGAGGCGUCGAGCAAUCGGCGUCCCAGAUAGAUGAUCACCGCCCGCGCAGCGGGUACAGAACGCGGCUUAUAGGUCAACUUGAGUC